rnacentral:rRNA from 1 species
CGCGUGAGUAACCUGCCUUGCACAAGGGGAUAGCCGUUGGAAACGACGAAUAAUACCCUAUGAUAUAAACUCUUCGCAUGAAGAGCUUAUCAAAGAUUUAUCGGUGUAAGAUGGACUCGCGUCUGAUUAGCUAGUUGGUGGGGUAACAGCCUACCAAGGCAACGAUCAGUAGCCGGCUUGAGAGAGUGUACGGCCACAUUGGGACUGAGACACGGCCCAGACUCCUACGGGAGGCAGCAGUGGGGAAUUUUGCACAAUGGGGGCAACCCUGAUGCAGCGACGCCGCGUGAUUUAGAAGGCCUUCGGGUUGUAAAAAUCUUUUGUAUGGGAAGAAAAUGACAGUACCAUACGAAUAAGGACCGGCUAAUUACGUG